rnacentral:rRNA from 1 species
GCCCUUUGGCCUGGAAUAACACGAGGAAACUUGUGCUAAUACCGGAUAAGUCUUUACGGAGAAAGCUUUAUGCACCAUUGGAUGAGCCCGCACUUGAUUAGUUUGUUGGUGGGGUAAUGGCCUACCAAGACUGUGAUCAAUAGCUGAUUUGAGAGGAUGAUCAGCCACAUUGGGACUGAGACACGGCCCAAACUCCUACGGGAGGCAGCAGUGGGGAAUCUUGCACAAUGGAGGAAACUCUGAUGCAGCGAUGCCGCGUGAGUGAAGAAGGCCCUUGGGUUGUAAAGCUCUUUCGUCGGGGAAGAAAAUGACUGUACCCGAAUAAGAAGGUCCGGCUAACUUCGUGCCAGCAGCCGCGGUAAUACGAAGGGACCUAGCGUAGUUCGGAAUUACUGGGCUUAAAGAGUUCGUAGGUGGUUGAAAAAGUUAGUGGUGAAAUCCCAGAGCUUAACUCUGGAACUGCCAUUAAAACUUUUCAGCUAGAGUAUGAUAGAGGAAAGCAGAAUUUCUAGUGUAGAGGUGAAAUUCGUAGAUAUUAGAAAGAAUACCAAUUGCGAAGGCAGCUUUCUGGAUCAUUACUGACACUGAGGAACGAAAGCAUGGGUAGCGAAGAGGAUUAGAUACCCUCGUAGUCCAUGCCGUAAACGAUGUGUGUUAGACGUUGGAAAUUUAUUUUCAGUGUCGCAGCGAAAGCGAUAAACACACCGCCUGGGGAGUACGACCGCAAGGUUAAAACUCAAAUGAAUUGACGGGGACCCGCACAAGUAGUGGAGCAUGUGGUUUAAUUCGAAGAUACGCGCAGAACCUUACCAACACUUGACAUGUUCGUCGCGACUCUAAGAGAUUAGAGUUUUCGGUUCGGCCGGACGAAACACAGGUGCUGCAUGGCUGUCGUCAGCUCGUGUCGUGAGAUGUUGGGUUAAGUCCCGCAACGAGCGCAACCCUCACUUUUAGUUGCCAUCAUUAAGUUGGGCACUCUGAAAGAACUGCCAGUGAUAAGCUGGAGGAAGGUGGGGAUGACGUCAAGUCCUCAUGGCCCUUACGUGUUGGGCUACACACGUGCUACAAUGGUAUCUACAACAGGAAGCAAGACUGCGAGGUCAAGCAAAUCCUUAAAAGAUACCUCAGUUCGGAUUGCACUCUGCAACUCGAGUGCAUGAAGCUGGAAUUACUAGUAAUCGUGGAUCAGCGUGCCACGGUG